UAGGGAAUCUUCGGCAAUGGGGGCAACCCUGACCGAGCAACGCCGCGUGAGUGAAGAAGGUUUUCGGAUCGUAAAGCUCUGUUGUAAGUCAAGAACGAGUGUGAGAGUGGAAAGUUCACACUGUGACGGUAGCUUACCAGAAAGGGACGGCUAACUACGUGCCAGCAGCCGCGGUAAUACGUAGGUCCCGAGCGUUGUCCGGAUUUAUUGGGCGUAAAGCGAGCGCAGGCGGUUUGAUAAGUCUGAAGUUAAAGGCUGUGGCUCAACCAUAGUUCGCUUUGGAAACUGUCAAACUUGAGUGCAGAAGGGGAGAGUGGAAUUCCAUGUGUAGCGGUGAAAUGCGUAGAUAUAUGGAGGAACACCGGUGGCGAAAGCGGCUCUCUGGUCUGUAACUGACGCUGAGGCUCGAAAGCGUGGGGAGCGAACAGGAUUAGAUACCCUGGUAGUCCACGCCGUAACGAUGAGUGCUAGGUGUUGGAUCCUUUCCGGGAUUCAGUGCCGCAGCUAACGCAUUAAGCACUCCGCCCGGGGAGUACGACCGCAAGGUU
rnacentral:rRNA from 1 species